AGUGAACGCUGGCGGUAGGCCUAACACAUGCCAGUCGAGCGGCAGCACAGUAAGAGCUUGCUCUUACGGGUGGCGAGUGGCGGACGGGUGGGGAAUACAUCGGAAUCUACUUUUUCGUGGGGGAUAACGUAGGGAAACUUACGCUAAUACCGCAUACGACCUACGGGUGAAAGCAGGGGAUCUUCGGACCUUGCGCGAUUGAAUGAGCCGAUGUCGGAUUAGCUAGUUGGCGGGGUAAAGGCCCACCAAGGCGACGAUCCGUAGCUGGUCUGAGAGGAUGAUCAGCCACACUGGAACUGAGACACGGUCCAGACUCCUACGGGAGGCAGCAGUGGGGAAUAUUGGACAAUGGGCGCAAGCCUGAUCCAGCCAUACCGCGUGGGUGAAGAAGGCCUUCGGGUUGUAAAGCCCUUUUGUUGGGAAAGAAAAGCAGCAGGUUAAUACCCCGCUGUUCUGACGGUACCCAAAGAAUAAGCACCGGCUAACUUCGUG
rnacentral:rRNA from 1 species